AGACUUUGGGGGACUGUUGGGAAGGCAUGAUUGUAUUUUGAAAUGUGAAAAGGACAUGAGAUUUGAGAAGGGCCAAAUGAUAUGGUUUGGCUCUGUGUACCAAUUGAAAUCAUACCUUGAAUUGUAAUAAUCCUCACCUGCCAUGGUAGGGACCUGGUGGGAGGUAAUUGAAUCAUGGGGUGGGGUUUUUCCCAUACGGUUCUCAUGAUAAUGAAUAACUUUCACAGGAUCUGAUGGUUUUAUAAAGGAGCAUUCCCCUGCACAUGCUCUCUUGCCUGCUGCCAUGUAAGAUGUGACUUUGCUCCUCAUUAGUCUUCUGCCAUGAUUGUGAGGCCUUCCCAGUCAUAUGGAACUGUGAGUCAAUUAAACCUCUUUCAUUUACAAAUUACCUAGUCUCAAGUAUGUCUUUAUUAGCAGCAUGAGAACAGACUAAUACAAAUACCUUUAUUUUUUUUGCCCAUUCAGAGAAGUCUACCCAUAUACCUCUUUCUCAAAUUUUGUCAGCAACUAUCCAGUCAUGUUUCUUCAAAAUUUCUGCCUCUUCAACCAAAGCAUUGGCAAAAGCCCAUGAAUCAGUAUAUAAUCACAUGUCUGUCCAUUUCUCCUUCCAAGCAAGGUGAAAACAAGGUGCACUGCUUGAUCUUCUGCCCACCAGGAAGACAUCCUUUCACCACUGCCCUUCAGGUAUGUACCAGAAAGGAGCUGUAGUGUUGUUGCUGUCCACUUUGGGGGUGGUGCCUGCAUAUCCUAAGGAACCAUCUCUAAAUCAGGUUCAUGCCUUUUCUGUGUCAUCAAGUCAUAAAGACCUCCCUGUGAGGUCAUAGUCCAGGUUGCAAGAGAGAAGGCAGUGUAGCAGGAGUGGAGACCAUGUGUGUUUAGACCACUUCUUCAUAUAACUUACUUGUUCCUUUGAGGCUAUCUUGAGCCUCAUCACAUAUAUGCAACUUCCAUUUGAUGGUGGAGUGCUACUGUGUAGGCCCAACCUUAUGGCUUGGUGUUACUUCCAUUCAUGAUGGACAGCUCAGGUUCCACGAAUCUUGCCCUGUUGCCCAGGCUGCACAAUCUUGGCUUACUGCAACCUCUGCCUCCCAGGUUCAAGUGAUUCUCCUGCCUCAACCUCCCCGUAGCUAGGAUUACAGGUAUGUGCCACCAUGCCCGGCAAAUUUUUUUUUUUUGAAAUGGAGUCUUGCUCUGUUGC
rnacentral:lncRNA from 1 species